UUGGAGGGCAAGUCUGGUGCCAGCAGCCGCGGUAAUUCCAGCUCCAAUAGCGUAUAUUAAAGUUGUUGCAGUUAAAAAGCUCGUAGUUGAAUUUCGGGGUCAGCAGGUUGGUCGUGCCUAUGGUAUGAACUGGCUUCGCUGGUCUCUCCUUUCUGAAGAACUGUAAUGCCAUUAAUUUGGUGUUGCAGGGACACAGGACUGUUACUUUGAAAAAAUUAGAGUGUUUAAAGCAGGCUAACGCUUGAAUACAUUAGCAUGGAAUAAUGAAAUAGGACGUUCGAACCUAUUUUGUUGGUUUCUAGGAUUGACGUAAUGAUUAAUAGGGAUAGUUGGGGGCAUUAGUAUUCAAUUGUCAGAGGUGAAAUUCUUGGAUUUAUUGAAGACUGACUACUGCGAAAGCAUUUGCCAAGGAUGUUUUCAUUAAUCAAGAACGAAAGUUAGGGGAUCGAAGACGAUCAGAUACCGUCGUAGUCUUAACCAUAAACUAUGCCGACUAGGGAUCGGAUGAUGUUAAUUUUUUAAUGACUCAUUCGGCGCCUUACGGGAAAC
rnacentral:rRNA from 1 species